rnacentral:rRNA from 1 species
GCGGAGUAGGGGCUGGGCAUAAUACAUGCAGUCGAACGCUUCUUUCCUCCCGAGUGCUUGCACUCAAUUGGAAAGAGGAGUGGCGGACGGGUGAGUAACACGUGGGUAACCUACCCAUCAGAGGGGGAUAACACUUGGAAACAGGUGCUAAUACCGCAUAACAGUUUAUGCCGCAUGGAUAAGAGUGAAAGGCGCUUUCGGGUGUCGCUGAUGGAUGGACCCGCGGUGCAUUAGCUAGUUGGUGAGGUAACGGCUCACCAAGGCCACGAUGCAUAGCCGACCUGAGAGGGUGAUCGGCCAUACUGGGACUGAGACACGGCCCAGACUCCUACGGGAGGCAGCAGUAGGGAAUCUUCGGCAAUGGACGAAAGUCUGACCGAGCAACGCCGCGUGAGUGAAGAAGGUUUUCGGAUCGUAAAACUCUGUUGUUAGAGAAGAACAAGGACGUUAGUAACUGAACGUCCCCUGACGGUAUCUAACCAGAAAGCCACGGCUAACUACGUGCCAGCAGCCGCGGUAAUACGUAGGUGGCAAGCGUUGUCCGGAUUUAUUGGGCGUAAAGCGAGCGCAGGCGGUUUCUUAAGUCUGAUGUGAAAGCCCCCGGCUCAACCGGGGAGGGUCAUUGGAAACUGGGAGACUUGAGUGCAGAAGAGGAGAGUGGAAUUCCAUGUGUAGCGGUGAAAUGCGUAGAUAUAUGGAGGAACACCAGUGGCGAAGGCGGCUCUCUGGUCUGUAACUGACGCUGAGGCUCGAAAGCGUGGGGAGCAAACAGGAUUAGAUACCCUGGUAGUCCACGCCGUACACGAUGAGUGCUAAUGUGUUGGAGGGUUUCCGCCCUUUCAGUGCUGCAGCAAACGCAUUAAGCACUCCGCCUUGGGGAGUACGACCGCAAGUUGAAACUCAAAGGAAUUGACGGGGCUCCGCACAAGCGUUGAGCAUUGUGGUUUAUUUCGAGCACGCAGAGACCUUACGAGUCUUGACAUCUUUGACUACUUCUAGAGAUAGAGCUUUCCUUCGGGACAGUCUUCGGGGACAAAGUGACAGGUGGUGCAUGGUUGUCGUCAGCUCGUGUCGUGAGAUGUUGGGUUAAGUCCCGCAACGAGCGCAACCCUUAUUGUUAGUUGCCAUCAUUUAGUUGGGCACUCUAGCGAGACUGCCGGUGACAAACCGGAGGAAGGUGGGGAUGACGUCAAAUCAUCAUGCCCCUUAUGACCUGGGCUACACACGUGCUACAAUGGGAAGUACAACGAGUCGCUAGACCGCGAGGUCAUGCAAAUCUCUUAAAGCUUCUCUCAGUUCGGAUUGCAGGCUGCAACUCGCCUGCAUGAAGCCGGAAUCGCUAGUAAUCGCGGAUCAGCACGCCGCGGUGAAUACGUUCCCGGGCCUUGUACACACCGCCCGUCACACCACGAGAGUUUGUAACACCCGAAGUCGGUGAGGUAACCUUUUUGGAGCCAGCCG